CUAUACAUGACUCUGCGCAUAUCAAUAAGCGGAGGAAAAGAAACUAACAAGGAUUCCCUUAGUAACGGCGAGUGAAGCGGGAAGAGCUCAAAUUUGAAAUCUUCAAGGUUUUACCUUGACGAAUUGUAGUUUAAAGAAGUGUUUUCUGCUGAAGUUUUGGUAAAAGUUCUUUGGAAUAGGACAUCAUAGAGGGUGAGAAUCCCGUAUUUGACCAUUAUUUUCAGCUUUGUGAUACACUUUCAAAGAGUCGGAUUGUUUGGGAAUGCAGUCCAAAAUGGGUGGUAAAUUUCAUCUAAAGCUAAAUAUUGGCGAGAGACCGAUAGCGAACAAGUACCGUGAGGGAAAGAUGAAAAGAACUUUGAAAAGAGAGUUAAACAGUACGUGAUAAUUGUCAAAAGGGAAGCGUUUGACACCAGUGUUGUUUUCUCGAAAAUCAAUUAAAAAUGGCUCGAUUUUGUAUUGCUUGAGACCUUAAAAGCUCACUGUACAUUUUUCGUGUCUUUUUUAAUGCACUUUUCGUUUAACAAGUCAACAUCAGUUUCUUUUGUUGUAAAAGGGUCAUUGGAAGGUGGCUUUCUUUUCGGAGAAAGUGUUUAUAGCCUUUGGCCUCUGCAAUCGGAGAGACUGAGGUCUGCAGCGUAGACUCUUCGGGGUUAGAUACAUUUGUGCUAAGUUAUAGCUUUUUAUAGACAACUUGUUGACUAUAAUUAGUCUUGUAGCUUACUCGCUUAUGCUAUUUUACCUACGCUUAGGAUGUUGAAGAUGUAGCACAUCAU
rnacentral:rRNA from 1 species